rnacentral:rRNA from 1 species
UAUACUCCAUAGAUUAGAGACACUGGAAUGUUCUUUAGUCGAAAGUUCUGGCGCCUUAGGAUGGAUCUGCGGUCGAUUAGGUUGUUGUUGGGGUAGCGGCCCAACAAGCCUGUAAUCGAUACGGGUUGUGGGAGCAAGAGCCCGGAGAUGGAAUCUGAGACACGAUUCCAGGCCCUACGGGGCGCAGCAGGCGCGAAAACUUUACAAUGCAGGAAACUGUGAUAAGGGAACUCCGAGUGCCCGUAUACGCGGGCUGUCCAGGUGUUUAAAAAUCAUCUGAAGAAAGGGCCGGGCAAGAACGGUGCCAGCCGCCGCGGUAAUACCGGCGGCUCGAGUGGUGGCCACUAUUAUUGGGCUUAAAGCGUCCGUACCUGGAACGAUAAGUCUCUUGGGAAAUCCGCCGGCUCAACCGGCGGGCGUCUAAGGGAUACUGUUAGUCUAGGGACCGGGAAAGGUGAGAGGUACUCCGGGGGUAGGAGUGAACUCCUGUAAUCCCCGGGGGACCACCGAUGGCGAAAGCAUCUCACCAGAACGGAUCCGAAAAUGAAGGACGAAAUCUGGGGGAGCGAAACCGGAUUCAAUACCGGGUAAUACCAACCGUAAAGUAUGCGCGUUCAGUGU